UAGGGGAGGAAGGUAGUGUAGUUAACACCUGCAUUUAUUUGACGUUUACCUACAGAAGAAGCACCGGCUAACUCCGUGCCAGCAGCCGCGGUAAUACGGAGGGGUGCGAGCGUUAAUCGGAAUUACUGGGCGUAAAGCGCAUGCAGGCGGCCUGUUAAGUCAGAUGUGAAAGCCCGGGGCUUAACCUCGGAAUUGCAUUUGAAACUGGCAGGCUAGAGUCUUGUAGAGGGGGGUAGGAAUUUCAGGUGUAGCGGUGAAAUGCGUAGAGAUCUGAAGGAAUACCAGUGGCGAAGGCGGCCCCCUGGACAAAGACUGACGCUCAGAUGCGAAAGCGUGGGGAGCAAACAGGAUUAGAUACCCUGGUAG
rnacentral:rRNA from 1 species